GCUAGUUGUAUUAACUAUUAGUUAAUACAAGAUCGACUAUGUCGACUAAAGUUCUAGGUAGAAUAAUGAUGAUGACAAUUUUCUACCUAUAUGUCUUGACCAAAUCUCGUGCCAGCAGUCGCGGUAAUACGUGAAAGACUAGUGUUAUUCAUCUUUAAUAGGUUUAAAGGGUACCUAGACGGUUUAUCUAGCCCAAAACAGGGUACGGAUUUUCUAGAGUUUUAUGUGAGGAGGGGAGUACUCAUAGAGUAAAGAUGAAAUUUUGUGAUACUAUGGGGAAACUGGUGGCGGCGAAAGCAACCUUCUAUGUAUAAACUGACGUUGAGGGACGAAGGCUUGGGUAGCAAAUAGGAUUAGAUACCCUAGUAGUCCAAGCAGACAAUUCUGAAUGCCAUAGAUUAGAUUUUUUUUUGGUCUAUAAAUGAAAGUGUAAGCAUUCCACCUUAGGAGUAAUGUGGCAACACAGGAACUGAAAUCAUUAGACCGUUUCUGAAACCAGUAGUGAAGUAUGUUAUUUAAUUUGUUAGUCCUCAAAAAACCUUACCACAACUUGAAUAUUAUUUAAUUAAUACAAGCGUUGCACGGCUGUCUUCAGUUAAUGUCGUGAGAUUUUGGUUAACUCCCUCAAUUAACGUAAACCCUUACUUUAUUUUUUUUUUA
rnacentral:rRNA from 1 species